rnacentral:lncRNA from 7 species
GAGGGCUCACACCAUACUAAACAAGAGCAGAAUUUGAAGCAGUGAUCCUUCCCUUGGGGCAGCCAGCCCUGAAAUGAGGUGAGGGAGGGGUGGAACCAGGCUGCCCCCUUUGUCAUCCAGGUGAAUUGCUUCCCUCUUUUUGCUCCUGAGCAGAACAAGAUUUGAUGAGGAGGAAAGCCUGUGAAGUCCAACAAGACUGCUUUCUACUUCCUUCCCGUUUGUGUUAGCUGGCUGUCACGGAGUGAUCUAGAUCAGUGUAUGCCUGUGGCGGGGCAGUGGGCCUGUUUUCCUGUGUUUGGCUUCCUUGCUUUGCCAUGAUGCUGUCUUGAGUUCAUGUGCUGGACUCUUGUAUUUCGUGUCUUUGUUUUGCUUUGCUCUGUUUUCCUUGUUGUUUGCCGUUCUUUUGUCAGUCUUGCUUUAUUGCUGCUCCUGUGUUGCAAUACCUUGUUUUGUUCAGAUGUGGUGAUUGAUACUUUUCCCUUUCCCUUCUUGGAACUCUUUUCUCCCUCCUUCAGGGUGUUCCUCUUUGUUUCUCGGCUUUUCAGGUGAUUUGCUUUGCCUUCCUUGGCUUUUUGGAACUUGGGAAAAGGUACCGAGGUGCAUGGAUAUGGAGAAGAGAAGCUCUCCUGCUGUGGCUGAGAGGUGAUCCAAAGGAGGCCUCCCGAGCAAGCACCGCAAAGGCAGCUUGCUUCUCCAGAGGCUGCAGCAUAAGCUCGUGUUCCUUGUGGAGGACUGCGUUGUGCAUCUGCAGGAGCUGCUUUGGCAUGGAGGAUUUUGUGGAGUUGCUGCCAGUCGUUGCUCGGAUGAACUCCCUGCUGGCCCCGGAGGAGUCCGAGUGCUCUGUGCUGGAAGAAGAGGAGUCGAGGCUGCUGGAGACAUCAGGGCUCAGUGGCUCUGUGGCAGUGAUGCGCUGCAUCAGCUCUUGCGUUUGGCAGCUGUUUGCAGUGGCUUUGGUCCCCUCUCUUGUGACACCGGGCAGGUCCUGCUUGUGCUGGGGGACCUCCAGAGCACUCUCCAGAGCCGCUUCUGAAAAAGCAAGAACAUCCCCCCGAACGAUGAUGGCAGCCUUCCCACAGCCACUCGGUGCAGGCAGCCACCUCUGGGGGUCACCUCUGCGGAGCACAGUCUCACCGUCAAUCCAGGUGAGCAAACGGUCCAUUUCCACAUCAUCGUUGUCAAGUCUGUGGGUGCUGGGUGUCUCUUCUGGAAAAGGCAGAAAAUGCCCAGCGGGGCAAUGGCAAUGCCGGCUUUCCCACGCCCACUCAGUGCAGACACCCCCCCAGCAGCUCUGCUGCCCCUCCGAGAGAGACUCACCGUUGUUGAUCCACGUGAGCAGGUCAUCGAUGUCUGCGUCGUCGUACAGGAUGCCUGUCUUGGAUGUCACUUCUGGAAAAGGCAGAAAAUGCCCAGUGGGGCAAUGCCAGCUUUCUUUCCCACACCCAGUGUGGGUGGGUGGGUGCCAGCAACCCCCCGCCAGCUCUGCUGCCCCCAAACUCACCGUCGUUGAGCCAUGCCAGGAGAUGCUGGAUGUCCGCCACGUCCUCCGGGAUGUCUGCGCUCGCUGUGGCUGCUGGAAAAGCAAGGACAUCCCCAGUGGGGCAAUGCCAGCUUUCCCACAGCCACCCGGUGCGGACAGCCUGCCGCACGCCCCGCAGCCCCCAAACUCACCCCCUGAGUCCAGCGCUGCGGUGCUGCAGCCGAGCGGAGCCGUGGCGGGAUGGGGGCACCCGUCGGUGGGCGCUGGGUGCCCCUGGUCCUCCGUGAGCACCACGGCGUCCUGAAAGGGCUCCAUCGGCGACUCCCAGGUGGCGGGCAGGGUGCAGGGCACGGGGAGCACCUGCUCCUGCAGUGGUGGUACCUGCAAAAGAACUGGCGGGGGGCCGGGGCGGCCGGGGGCCUGCGGCAGGCAGGUGCCUGCGGGCUGCGGGGGCUCCCCGUGGAACACGGCCCCAGGCCACAGCCCCAUCGGCUGCUGGGGCAGCAGCGUCCCUGCCAGCAGGGGAUGUCCCCAGCAGUGAGCAGGGGCAGUGGGGGGAGCCAUAGCUGGGUGCAGCCCCCCAGGUAGCAGCUGCAGCAGCGGUAAGUGCAGCCCCAGAGUUGGGGGCAGGCCCCCAGGUGGCAGUUGAGCCCCAGUUGGGGGCAGCCCCCCAGGGGGGAGCUGCGCUGCCUGUCCCCAGACACCUGGUACCCCAGGCCAGACAGAGGCCUGAGGCGCCAGGUAGGUGGCAGUGGGGACAGGGAGGGCUUGGGGUGGUACCGGCAUCGGUCCGCGGAUGGUGGGCUGCAUCCAGGCGGGGUCCGGUGGCGGCACAGUCGCUUCAGGGAAAAUGGCGUCGGGUGUCAGAGGCACCGUCAGCGCUCCUCGAGGGUUUCUCUCUGUGGGGAAAGGCCAAAGUAGGCUCUGGGUGGGCUCUGGGGUGAGCUCUGGGGCGCUGGGGUGGGAUCUGGGGCACAGGGCGGAGAUCGGGCUUACAGGGCUGGGAUCUGGGGCGCUGGGGUGAGAUCUGGGACGCUGGGGUGGGAUCUGGGACACUGGGGUGAUAUCGGGGUUACAGGGGUGAUAUCGGGGUUACAGGGGUGAGAUCUGGGGCACAGGGGUGGGAUCUGGAGCGCUGGGGCCAGCUGAAGCAUGGGAGCAGGGGAAGCCUGCUGCCUUACCUGCCAUGACAGCUGGAGAGUGGCAGUUAGGGGAGCCCCUCCCCCCAGGGGGGUUGCGUGACCGUUGGGGUCAGCCCCUUUCCCCCAGGCUUGAGAUGGUUGCAGUUUUUGUCGCCACAAAGACCUUCAAGACCCUCAAGUCUAAGCACAACCUAACCAUACCAGCCUCACUCUAACAAGCCCCUGCUCAAUCAUGUCCCCGAGCACCACCUGGUUUUCAACACAUUCAGGGAUGGUGACUGAACCAGCUCCCUGGGUGGAAUAGGGAGCCCAUCAGGUCUCCCCUCAGCCUCCUUUUCCCCACACUAAACAGCCCCAGUUCCUUCAGUCACUCCUCAGAGGGCAUAUUGGCCAAGGCCUUCCCCAGCCUUGUUGCCCUUCUUUCAACCUGCUUCAGCACCUCAACGGCCCUUCUGUGCUGAGGUGCCCAAAACUGAACACUGCACUCGAGGUGAGGCCUCGCCAGUGCCGAGUCCAGGGGCAGGAUGACUUCCCUAGUCCUGCUCACCACACCGUUCCUGAGCCAGGAAUGGUGCUUAUGCCAUUGGCCUUCUUGGCCACCUGGGCACACUGCUGGCUCAUCUUCAGCCACCUGUCCGUCAGCACACCAAGGUCCCUUUCAGGGCUCAGGCAGCUUUCCAGCCACUCCUCCCCAAGGAGGACUGGGGGGACGCCUGGGCUUGUUGUGACCAAAAUGCAGGACCCGACACUCGGCCCCAUUGAAACUCAUCCAGUUAAGCUGGCAGAGUGAAGAGAGAACAAAAACCAAGCAGGCAAAGAGCAGAGCUGUCCACAGGGGGCAGGGCUUGGGGCAGGGCCUGUGCCGGAGGGUGGUCCAGCACAGUGGUGGCCUCGGGGCCCAGGCUGGAGGGGGCCUGGCACAGUUGAGGCCUGGUGUGGGCCCAGAAGGAAGGGGGCCCAGGCACAGGUAGAGCCUCGGGGCCCAGGCUGGAGGAGAACCAGGCUCAGUGGGGCUGUGUUGGGGCCCAGGUGGAGGGGACCAGGUGCAGUUGGGGCUGCACUGGGGGGGCCUGAGCUGGAGGGGGCCUAGCAGAGUUGAGGCCUCUCUUGGCCCAGACCAGAGGGAGCCCCGG